AACGAACGCUGGCGGCAGGCCUAACACAUGCAAGUCGAACGCCCUAGCAAUAGGGAGUGGCAGACGGGUGAGUAACACGUGGGAACGUGCCCUUCGGUUCGGAAUAACUCAGGGAAACUUGAGCUAAUACCGGCUACGUGCGAGAGCAGAAAGAUUUAUCGCCGGAGGAUCGGCCCGCGUCCGAUUAGCUAGUUGGUGAGGUAAUGGCUCACCAAGGCGACGAUCGGUAGCUGGUCUGAGAGGAUGACCAGCCACACUGGGACUGAGACACGGCCCAGACUCCUACGGGAGGCAGCAGUGGGGAAUAUUGGACAAUGGGCGCAAGCCUGAUCCAGCCAUGCCGCGUGAGUGAUGAAGGCCCUAGGGUUGUAAAGCUCUUUCGCCAGGGACGAUAAUGACGGUACCUGGAUAAGAAGCCCCGGCUAACUUCGUGCCAGCCGCCGCAGUAA
rnacentral:rRNA from 1 species